rnacentral:rRNA from 1 species
UACGUAGGGGGCAAGCGUUGUCCGGAUUUAUGGGCGUAAAGAGCGUGUAGGCGGCCAUACAGGUCAGCUGUGAAAACUCGAGGCUCAACCUCGAGACGUCGGUUGAAACCGUAUGGCUAGAGUCCGGAAGAGGAGAGUGGAAUUCCCGGUGUAGCGGUGAAAUGCGCAGAUAUCGGGAAGAACACCUAUGGCGAAGGCAGCUCUCUGGGACGGUACUGACGCUGAGACGCGAAAAGCGUGGGGGAGCGAACAGG